rnacentral:lncRNA from 1 species
GGCCUGACUAUCGAAAAAUAAAACUUGGCACAUAGGCCUGAGAAUUGAAAACGUGAACCUUGAUGCGCAGGCCUGACUACUGAUAACUGGUAGACCAAGUUACUUGUAAUAUGUCUUUAAAUUCUCGGCAUUCCAUGGUCUUGGAAGUGGUCUUCCUGAUGUAUCUCUUAAACUGUAUGCGCCUCCUUGGAGUUGUCGUAUGACUUCAAAGGGCCCUUCCCAAACUGGUCCUAGCUUGCCGGGGGCAUGACCUGCUGUUUCGGCCCUUCUUAAAACAAGGUCUUCGGCUCUGAAUCUCUGCGUCCUCACUUUUUUAUUGAAGUACUUUGCUGUUUUAUCUUGGUAGGAGGCCAUUCUUAAAGUUGCCUGAUCACGAACUUCUUUCAAGAGGUUGAGGUGUUCAGUGGUACACCCUGCAUCUUCAGGCUCGAGCCUCCUUUGGCUGGAAAACCUGACUUCAACUGGGAUGGUGGCCUCAAUACCGAAAGCUAACAUGAAUGGGGUUUCCCCCUUAGCAGUUCUGUGGGACGUUCUAUACGUCCAAAGUAUGGAAGGUAACUCGUCAAACCAGGAACCUCUUGCAUCCCCGAUCCUUGUACGGAGGUCUUGCAAUAUAAUCCGAUUGGUCACUUCGGCGAGACCAUUACUUUGAGGAAAUGGGAAACCGGCGUCAAACGGUGAUCAACCCCUAGGUUGGAACAAAAGUUUUUAAAUUGUGCAUUGUCGAACUGCCUGCCAUUGUCAGUUAUGAGGACUUUCGGUAUUCCGAACCUUCAUAUGAUAGAUCUCCAAAUGAAACUUCGACUCUGAAAUUGUUGCUAAAGGCUCGGCCUCCACCCACUUAGUGAAAUACUCUACAGCCAUAGCCACAAACUUCAAUUGUCCCCUACUUAUUGGAAAGGGACCGAGGAUGUCAAUUUUCCACUGCUCAAAUGGGGCUGUGCAACUAAUGUUAGUGAGGUACGCUACGGGAGGGUGGAUGACAUUGCUAAAUCUUUGGCACUUGUCACACUUCUUGACAUAUUCCUGGGCGUCUUUCUUCAUGGUUGGCCAAUAAUAUCCAUACCUUAUGAGUUUGAAGGCUAAAGCCCGAGCUCCUUGAUGGUUCCCACAUACUCUUUCAUGAACUUCUUCUAGGGCCUGAGAUGAUUCGGAAGGCCUAAGGCAUCUGAGGUAUGGAAGUGUGAGGCUCAUGCGAAAUAAAACUCCUUCAAUCAUGCAAUACCUCGGAGCUUUGGACCGGAUGCUUCUCGCUGCUCGAGAAUCUUCUGGAAGACUGCCAUGUGUUUAUGAAGUCCACUAUUGCGUCCAUCCACGACGGUUCAUUAUCAAUAUCCAUGACGCCUGUGGUCUGAUUGAUGCUUGGCUCGGUUACAAUUUUGACUUGAACUGUCCCGUCAAGCCCAUCUAUUCCCAUGAAGACCAAUCUUGACAAGGCAUCG